UACGUAGGGACCAAGCGUUGUUCGGAUUUACUGGGCGUAAAGGGCGCGUAGGCGGCUUGACAAGUCACUUGUGAAAUCUCCGGGCUUAACUCGGAACGGUCAAGUGAAACUGUCAUGCUAGAGUGCAGAAGGGGCAAUCGGAAUUCUUGGUGUAGCGGUGAAAUGCGUAGAUAUCAAGAGGAACACCUGAGGUGAAGACGGGUUGCUGGGCUGACACUGACGCUGAGGCGCGAAAGCCAGGGGAGCAAACGGG
rnacentral:rRNA from 1 species